UUUAGUGAGGUCUUCGGACCGGCGGUAAGCGGGACCGUCCUCGUGUCGGUCUUGCCGAACGCUGGGAAGAUGACCAAACUUGAGCAUUUAGAGGAAGCAAAAGUCGUAACAAGGUUUCCGUAGGUGAACCUGCGGAAGGAUCAUUA
rnacentral:rRNA from 1 species